CUUUCUUUGCUAAAGUAUCCCACGGAGAAGGAGUUAUCUCCGUAUUGUAUGCCGUAUAUGCAAGUUGAUGUGCCGCUUGAGCAACCAGGUGUAUUACCUACAUCGAUGGUCGAUCACAAAUCAGUUAUAGGCAUGAUAUGAAGGGGCGAGGCUCUAGUGAGGACCGUAAAAUGAGAAUUUCAUGAGGAUUUUUAAGUCAACGGUUAGAUGAUAUGUGUGAUGUAUAAUUAAUAUUCAAAUAAAAUUGAAACCACUUAUCUAA